UGUGGAAAAAAAAUACCUGGUUCUGGAUCCCGACCCUGGGAGAGGAGCUCAGGGUGGGAGAGCCUCACGGCACCAAUGUAAUGGAUUGAUUAAAAAAUGCUGCUGGAUCUCUGGUGGCUGCAGCGGCAGAAACACUGCAGGUCCCCAAGCGGCAGCAGUGGGCAGCCAGUCCUAGGCAAGGGACUGGUGCAGGUUCCAGAGUGGAUGCAGGCCAUGAGUGACCCCGUGGUUUCCAAGAGGAUGAUGGGACAUGACGUCUACCUCAUCUGGAUUGUGGGAACGCUAACCACGAGGCAUAACUGCCAGGGCCCUGCUCAAACUGAGGAUAAGCCCUGGAGGGCUGACUGCUCCACUUCACCUUGACCCAGUUGGGUCAGUCCCCCAACUUCCUCCUCCACAGGAAAGGUUUCUCAGGUCACUUGCGGCUGGUGGCCAGACACUAAUGAUACCAUGGUACCUCCAUCCCCAAGGGAAGCCACAGAGACCACGGGAGUCUGGGCCAUUUGAAUUGACACAAAGGCCCUUUGGAUCUGCCUCCUGCUCCAUUUAUCCUCCUCAGACCGCUGACUAACUGCAGCUCCGUCAGUGGCAGCAGGCAACCAGCUCCUUCCCCGACUGUACCCAUUUAUAGCUCAUUUCAUAUGUAAAAGUCAGGCCUUGCUUUUUCUAGAGCUCCUAAAUGGGCUGAGAAAGGCAGACAGGUUUGCCUGGCUAACAGGCUUCAUAUUAAAGGAUACACAGGUUUCAGAUGUAACUUUUCAUUAAAGGAACGAGCUUUGCAAUGACUGUUCUCAGUAAUAAGUACUGUCUCUGGCUCAUGAUUAGAUGGAAAGAAAACAGGUUAAAGUUUAUAUAGGUUCUGAGGAGCAGAGGAAAUGUUCCACGGCUCCUUCAGGUCUAAGGAUAGGAAGGCUUGAGUAAGUUCUGAGGGUCUAAUCACGUGAUUUUAGAGACGGGCGGUGGUGGCACACGCCUUCAACCCCAGCACUCGGGAGGCAGAGGCAGGUGGAUCUCUGUGAGUUUGAAGACAGUCUGGUCUAUAGGAGCUAGUUCCAGGACUGGUUCCAAAGCUACAGAGAAACCCUGUCUUGAAAAACCACCAGAAGAAGAAGAAAGAAGAAAGAAGAAGAAGAAGAAGAAGAAGAAGAAGAAGAAGAAGAAGAAGAAGAAGAAGAAGAAGAAGAAGAAGAAGAAAUUAAGAAAGAAAAUGAUUUAAGACUUAUUUCCAGGCAGCUGACAGACGCCAUCCAGGGAGCAGCUGCAGACGAUCUGCUACGAGGGACCGCGAGCCCUACCGCGAGCCCUAGAUGGGCUGAAAGUGAUGUGGGCCAGUCCAGCUGGUGGGAUUGCUCGCUGCCUCAUCUGGGGCAGCGAACUAGAUGUUCCUGAUGAAUGCCCCAUUGCCCAGCCUUUUCUAGCCUUUCAGCCUUCCUGGGCCCUGACUUCAAGAGGAAGUAAAGCACAUCACCCGGUAUCCUCCUCAAAAGGCUGGAGAGUUAGUUCAAAGGAAGCUUCCUGGCCUAGAGGACGAAAUAGCUAAAUUGGCAUGCCAGGAAAGGUACCUGUUAAAACCAAACAGACCAGAUCUAUCCACAGGUGGGUUGAGUAGCUGAAGUCACUCUACAGUAUGAUGGGGCACGCGGCCUGCUCUGUGUAGAACAAGGAGGUUUGUGUACAGCUUUAAGAUUUAUUAUUAUUACUAUUAUUAUUGUUGUUGUUCUAUUCAAACCAUUCUGAAUUAAUUAGAGAUGAUCUGGCCACACUAAAAAAAAAAAAGCAUUACAAAAAAGGGGGGCCUUGGAUGAAAUAAACGACAAAUCCCAUUCUCAUUUCCAGGCUCCUCCUAGUUUUGAUUACGGUGCCUAAGAGAUCCAUGAAACAAAAACCCCUCUAACCUGUGAGCCCCUUGCCCAAGGACAGACACAUUCUGAAACGCUGGAGGUUGGUGUUUAUGGGAGAAAACAAGCCAUGUGUUCUUCCUCCCUUCAACACCUUUGUUGACCCAACACUACUGGAUGAGCUUGAUCACACGUGGGUGGGAAACACGUGGAUAGGAAAUGUGUCAGGACAUAUGCUCGCCCCAUCGGACCUGAGAGAAACAUGCUAACUUUAUGGGAUUGACCCCCUCUUUUUUGCUGGUUUUUCGAUAUGGGUUUUCUCAGUGUAGCCCUUUCUGUCCUGGAACUCACUCUGUAGACCAGGCUGGCCUCAAACUCACAGAGGUCCGCCUGCCUCUACCUUCUGAGUGCUGGGGUUAAAGGCGUGCGCCAC